rnacentral:rRNA from 1 species
AGAGUUUGAUCCUGGCUCAGGACGAACGCUGGCGGCGCGCCUAACACAUGCAAGUCGAACGGAGUCAAGAGGAGCUUGCUUUUCUUGACUUAGUGGCGAACGGGUGAGUAACGCGUGAGUAACCUGCCCUGGAGUGGGGGACAACAGUUGGAAACGACUGCUAAUACCGCAUAAGCCCACGGAUCCGCAUGGAUCUGCGGGAAAAGGAUUUAUUCGCUUCAGGAUGGACUCGCGUCCAAUUAGCUAGUUGGUGAGGUAACGGCCCACCAAGGCGACGAUUGGUAGCCGGACUGAGAGGUUGAACGGCCACAUUGGGACUGAGACACGGCCCAGACUCCUACGGGAGGCAGCAGUGGGGGAUAUUGCACAAUGGGGGAAACCCUGAUGCAGCGACGCCGCGUGGAGGAAGAAGGUUUUCGGAUUGUAAACUCCUGUCGUUAGGGACGAUAAUGACGGUACCUAACAAGAAAGCACCGGCUAACUACGUGCCAGCAGCCGCGGU